rnacentral:tRNA from 1 species
CAAAAAAUAGUUUAUUAAAAACAUUAACAUUGGAAGUUAAAAAUAUAUUAUUUAUUUUUUUGA